ACUUGGAUAAACAGAGUUUAUAACACUAUUCGAAUAGAGUAAGUAGUUUGAUAAGUAUAUAUUAUUUGCUGAGGAUAUACGCCAUGUUAUCACAGUUAUGAUUGUUUGAUUUUUUUAAUGAGUUCCUAGUUCUUACCAAAUUAUAAUAUCAUGAGUUUUGUUAUAGUUUGCCCACCUAUUAGCAUUGUUUAUGAACUGGUCUUAUUUAUUUGCUCUUUUUGGGUCACUCGAUGUAUCUGAACUUUCAUUCGGUUAAUUUGUGAGAAUCAAAACUGUGCUACUGUGACUUUUGGAGUUUGGCAUACUAUCCUAGUAUUUUCAGCUUAUCACCAACAUAUCACCAACAGAGUUAAGUAUAUUGCGGUCAUGUUUGAUGUCAUUGGUUAUACAACUGUGUAUCCUCUGUUUGGUUUAAGCGCAUUGUCAUUCUUGGUCCAAGUACUUUAAAUAGGAAAAGUAUUGCUAUUAGUUAGGCAAAUUACUGCUAUUACUUAAGCUAAUUAUUAUUUUUAGAUAAGCAAAUUACUGUUCUUCAAUUUAAAUUAAUAUGCAAAGUAUUAUUCCUUUAGCAGCAGCUGCGCCCUAUGUUGUUUAUGUUAACAUAGCCUUCUUUUUUAUUUUAUGAGUUCAUUAAACCACUAGCAACAGUUUUCUACUGCUAGUUUAAGGUCAAAAUAACAGUAGUUUUCUUUUGCCAGACAUUCAAACAUGCAUAAUGGGAAACGACUUUGGCUGAUCUAUUUUGAUCUGGGCAACAUAGUUGUUCAGUGUCAGUGUAACAGCCUUCGCAAAAGGGUGAAUCUAGUUGCAAUGUAUACCUUUGUUCAAGUCAUUUGCUAGCCCUUUGUUGCAUUGUUCGUAACCUUUCUUUUACUAGACUUUUUACUUUGCAAAUGCAUAUUUUGUGGGGGUGAAGCAAUGGGGGGAACUUGACGUUCAUUGAUAGUGCAAAUAGGCCUCAGCUUGUGCAGGGGUUUAAAGUGCUUUCCAUCCGGCUUAAGAUCGCCACUAUGCAGCAGUGAAGGUGCAGCUGAACCACGAUUUGAUUUCUGGCCAGCUCGGUAGUGGUUGCAGUAGCUUCAACUUUUAGUCCAUGCAACAGAGGAGGCAAUCAUGAUUCUUGUCUGUUGACUCCGAAUGUUUAGAAUUUAGAUGGGUGAAAAUGCCUAUGUACAUGUUGCUAAUUUGAUUAUAGUUUUUCAAAACUUUGCUUAUGAGAUCCUAAAA